ACACUGUAUCAGACAGUUGUGGUAAAGAAAAAGCUAAGCCAGAAGGCGAGACUCAAGUUACCCGUCAAUUUACACUCCUAUCCUCACACGUGGUGAUUAACUUUGGGUAAUGACCGAAAGAACAAGGCAGCUGAC